UGAUGAGACGUCCAUGCUUGUGCACUCACA
rnacentral:piRNA from 1 species